CAUCGCCUCUUGAACUAAAUAAGUGGUCCAGCCUGCCCAGUGAAAUUAUUCAACGGCCGCGGUAUCCUAACCGUGCGAAGGUAGCGUAAUCACUUGUUCUUUAAAUGAGGACUAGUAUGAAUGGCACCACGAGGGUUCUACUGUCUCCUUUUUUAAAUCAGUGAAACUAAUCUUCCCGUGAAGAAGCGGGAAUUUUUUUAUAAGACGAGAAGACCCUAUGGAGCUUUAAACAAAUGACAUUUGCUUAAUCUAAUAUUUUAUUUUCAAGAAAUAUAGCAUUAUGAUCUUUAGUUUUCGAUUGGGGUGAUCACGGAGAAAAAUUUAACCUCCACGCCGAAAGGGUUUAUUCCCUAAGCAAAAAGCUACAGCUUUAAGCACUAAAAAAUUAACGUAGUUUGACCCAAUAUUUUGAUCAACGAACCAAGUUACCCUAGGGAUAACAGCGCAAUCCACUUCAAGAGCUCCUAUCGACAAGUGGGUUUACGACCUCGAUGUUGGAUCAGGGUAUCCUAGUGGUGCAGCCGCUACUAAUGGUUCGUUUGUUCAACGAUUAAAACCCU
rnacentral:rRNA from 1 species